GUGCUCGCUUUGACAGCACAUACACUAAAAUUGGAACAAUACAGAGAAAAUUAGCAUGGCCCCUGUGCAAGGAUGACAUACAAAUUCAUGAAGCAUUCCAGGGAUUU
ensembl:snRNA U6 U6 spliceosomal RNA